AGAGUUUGAUCCUGGCUCAGGAUGAACGCUGGCGGCGUGCCUAAUACAUGCAAGUCGAACGAAACUUCUUUAUCACCGAGUGCUUGCACUCACCGAUAAAGAGUUGAGUGGCGAACGGGUGAGUAACACGUGGGCAACCUGCCCAAAAGAGGGGGAUAACACUUGGAAACAGGUGCUAAUACCGCAUAACCAUAGUUACCGCAUGGUAACUAUGUAAAAGGUGGCUAUACUACCGCUUUUGGAUGGGCCCGCGGCGCAUUAGCUAGUUGGUAGGGUAAAGGCUUACCAAGGCAAUGAUGCGUAGCCGAAUUGAGAGGUUGAUCGGCCACAUUGGGACUGGGACACGGCCCAAACUCCUACGGGAGGCAGCAGUAGGGAAUCUUCCACAAUGGGCGGAAGCCUGAUGGAGCAACGCCGCGUGGGUGAAGAAGGUCUUCGGAUCGUAAAACCCUGUUGUUAGAGAAGAAAGUGCGUGAGAGUAACUGUUCACGUUUCGACGGUAUCUAACCAGAAAGCCACGGCUAACUACGUGCCAGCAGCCGCGGU
rnacentral:rRNA from 1 species